UACGUAGGGUGCGAGCGUUAAUCGGAAUUACUGGGCGUAAAGCGUGCGCAGGCGGUUUGCUAAGACAGGUGUGAAAUCCCCGGGCUUAACCUGGGAACUGCGCUUGUUACUGGCAAGCUGGAGUGUGGCAGAGGGGGGUGGAAUUCCACGUGUAGCAGUGAAAUGCGUAGAUAUGCGGAGGAACACCGAUGGCGAAGGCAAUCCCCUGGGCCUGCACUGACGCUCAUGCACGAAAGCGUGGGGAGCAAACAGG
rnacentral:rRNA from 1 species